GGCGCUUUGCUGCAGCUCACGUUGCCAACAAGGCUGGUUUCAGCUGUACAGGUGACUGAGGGAGUCGACUUCAGGACUGAGCACCUAUGUUGUGAGGCAGUGACAGAGCAUGACUUCAGACACAGAAGAGAACUGCCUGGAGCUGGGGAGAGAGUAUUUAGUAAAGAAAGGGUUUGCUCCUGCCUCCCUUUCAGCCAUCUCAGCAACUUAAAGAGGAGAGCAACAUACUUUAAGAGUGCAUGCUGUGUCUUUGCAGUCCACCACUGACGUAGGUGGAUGUGUGAGUAAGACUCAUUUUGUUGUUAAUUUAUCUUCUUGAUGCUCAAUAUCAGACUCCAUUUGCAUUGACUGAAUAACUGUGGAGUCGUUAUGAAAGCUAUACGAACUGUGUUACUACCCUUGGAAGUGAUUACUGCUGAAUUUUUGCCUCUUAAGCCUCCAAACAGGAUAUUACAUUAUUAUAUGCAAUUCUCUUCCCUGAUGUACUGUCUGAGUAUUGGCCAAACCAUCAGUGUACCACUGUGAUUCAUGCAGAACACUAAUCUCAAUGGAGCCGAAGGGUUACAGGUUUGCCUGUUGGAGACUUGUGGACAUUGGAAUUCUUUUAAACAUGAUUGGUUUCCAGCAGACACAUAUGGCUCUCAGACACAUGGAUAUCAGUCCACAUGUGUGAUAGGUAGAACUACAAAACGAGUGUCACAGAUGUUCAUCCUUGAAGUUGAAUUUUCAGAGCUGAAGGAAUAGUUCAAAGCUGAAGUUGGUCUUCCAACCCAGUUAUGAGAAUUACAGAGUCUAAACCAUGCCUUACAUGCGUCAUUUGCUUUGGAAAAUAAAAACCUGCUUUUGAAAGUAUUCGAAUAUGCGGAAAUGAGGAGUGUGGUACAUGCCAGUCAGUGAGGGCUUCCUCUUAGUUGCUGUGUUUAUUAGCCUGAGCCUGGUGCAAGGCACAGCAGCCAUUUGAAUAAGACACACACAAGCCAGCUGGUAGCAUUGGGUGUGUUGGGCUAGUGAGCAGCAGAUUUCUUUCUUACUUAGGUCAUGUUCUUAUCUUUUGCUUGUCCAUGUUUAUAUUGGAGUAGCACUCAGAGGCUCCAGAACUGAAGAAAAUAACUGCACUGCAGACAUUUUUAAAGAAGUUGUUAUGACUGCUAAUGCUUCUUCCUGCUCCACUGCUACAAACUCUGCCAUAGUGCAGCAAAGAACUGAAUGAUUUCUGAAAGAAGUGUGUGAUGAAACGUGAGGAAGUGGCUGGAAGGAAUGGAGAGAAGAAAAGAGGCUGGGAUUUCUGAGAAUGCAUCAGUACUUUAAGGAGUUGUUGAAUACAGCAUCUCACCUAUAUCUUGCUCAUCCUGCUGCCACUGCCAUUUCUGAAGUGGCUGAUGCUGCAGGUUAAGCUGUAUGUGCUUGCUGGAUCCAUCCCCUCAGAUGAAGGAGUAUUUGGACAGGCUUGUGUGGUGCUACUCAAUUUUGCCCAGGAUGAAGAAAUCUUUUUAAUAUGCCAGAGCAUGGUAUAGAUAUAUAGGAUUCUGGAUAGGCCACCUGUGAAGUCAGACACAUUCAGAGGAAGACAGCGCGUGGAUUUUCCGAUGCACAGUCUGGUCAUCCUAAAUCCAUUGAAGUCCUCAUUUAGGCAUAUAUUGCUCUUCUGUCCUUGCUCUUAGACACGCCCAACUGAUGAUCCUGUAAGGCCUCUUGAUCUGUCUGUGUGUGGAGACUGAUCUAACAUAUCUCAGGAUAUACUGGCUUUUGCACCAAAGAGAUAAUCCAGCUUCCAACUUCGGACUUUCCCAGACUGACACAUUGCGUUGUGUAGCCAGGAAAGAAGAUACAGACUUCCACAACAAGUGUCUUAAUUUUCAGCACAUAGAAACUUUUCAUGAAAACUUGGAAACUGCUCUGAAUCUGAGAUGGCAACCUGAAACCAGAAUGUUUCAUGUUAUAAUCAAACCAUA